UGUGAAAUCCCUGCUGGAGAAGUACUACAUUGAUCUCAAGCUAAUUGGCCGCCUUGAGGUUGGUAGCGAGACAGUGAUAGACAAAAGUAAAUCCAUCAAAACGUGGCUAAUGCAAUUUUUAGAGGAAACUGGUAAUACCGACAUCGAGGGAGUUUGACUCCAGUAAUGCAUGUUAUGGUGGAACAACUUCCCUCUUGAAUUGGUGUGACUUCGGUCCAAAGUCCAUGCUGGGAUGAACGUUACGGCCUUGUAGUCUGCACAGAUAGCACGGUUUAUGCAGAGGGACCAGCUCGACCUGGUGGAGCUGCUGCAGUUGCUAUGCUUAUUGGUCCAAAUGCACCUAUUUCUUUCGAAAUCAAAUAUAGAGCUUUUCACAUGACUCAUGUUUACGAUCUCUACAAGCCUCAUCUUGCAAGUGAAUAUCAGACCAAAAGUUCAAUCAAGAAUUUGGGAUCUGAACAAUAUUGCCUAAUACCCAGUUAUACAAGGAUCAAGUUUCAGAGAAUCAGAGAUCAACAACUUGCUAGUUAACCACUCGUCGCACAAUGUAAUUUACCCGCAAACUGACAGGCAUCAAUGCUACAGUUUGGAAGAAAAAGAGUGCUCCCUGGACUGUCAGGUUGUGUGAUCCUUUGAAUUGCAAACCAAAGCUACAAGAGCGUUCAGCCAUUGGAGCUGACGCUCAAGCUCCACGCCAAUGUGAAGAGCGCUAAGGCCGUAAACACAUAAUUAAGCAAUGCACACCUCAACUUACAAGACAACAUGAAGGAUAAAUAUCAAUCUUUUAGCAGAUAAAUUUAAGACUUAAACGCUCUGAAUUUCUUCAUUUGCAUGAAAAAUGGUAUUGCAAGGCAGAUCAUUUUAUCUGUACAGUCAGCUCUCCAAAAGCACCCUAAAUUUCAGUGUAGAAUCAAAAUUGCUAAGAAUACCUGGAAUGGAAAUUCUUAGUGGCACGUGUAAGCUUUGCAGAUUGUUUGGUUUUUAAAUCUAUUAUUUUCUGAUAUAGAUUGCGAUAAUUUUGCAUUGAUGAUUGGUACUAGUACUUGUCAGUCCAACCAUUUACUACAGAACUCACAUAUGUACUGAUUAAGAGCUGGCUUAUAUGGAGCAAAAAUCAAGAAUUACCAGCAGUCAAAGCAAACACCAGAAUAAAAUUUGAAGCAGCAUGUCAGUAA